GAUGAACGCUGGCGGCGUGCCUAAUACAUGCAAGUCGAGCGAACAGACGAGGAGCUGGCUCCUCGGACGUUAGCGGCGGACGUGUGAGUAACACGUGGAUAACCUACCGAUAAGACUGGGAUAACUUCGGGAAAACGGAGCUGAUACCGGAUAAUAUACUGAACCGCAUGGCUCAAUAGUGAAAGACGGUGGUGCUGUCACUUAUAGAUGGAUCCGCGCCGCAUUAGCUAGUUGGUAAGGUAACGGCAUACCAAGGCAACGAUGCGUGGCCGACAUGAGAGCGAGCGCGAGCACGCCGGAGAGGGUGAACGGUCACAACGCAACCGGGAGGCAGCCGAAGCGACUCUGGGACGAAGGGGGGGAGAAUGAUGGGGAAAGGGCGCGUGAGUGGCGAAGGUACUCGGCGUGUAAAAAUAUGGUAUUAGGGAUGAAAAACUGUGUACGUAACUACGAACGAAGUGACGGUACCUAAUCAGAAAGCCACGGCUAACUACGUG
rnacentral:rRNA from 1 species